GGGUCCCAGCAUCCGCAGUUUACCAAGCUCCCCGGGCGUUUCUGAAACACCGCCAAGGCUGAGAACCAUUCGGUGUCCGUAAAAGCAGACUAACACCACCUUUCUCAUUACGCGGAAUAAGAAACAAAGCGGAGUGGCCUCCAGGGACCUGGCAGUUCCCAUGUGCCCGGCACAUGACACCUUCUCUAGCCUCCACAGCGGUCCUAUGCAGGGCGUCACUGGUCCCAUUUUACAGAGGGGGAAGCAGGCUCAGCGAGAGACACAGAGAGGUUAAGCAAUCUGCUCAGAAUCACACAGCUGUUCUCGUUCAUGGGAUGGUUGCAGAGCACCGGGAACGUGCCAGGCCCUGCCCGAGAUGUGAGAAGGAGACUAAGACUCAGGCCCCUGCCUUAAGGAACCCCUGGUUCAAGGAGGCGACAGGAACAGACCCCACGUGACCUCACAUCCCCGCUGGCUUUGCAGUUCAAGCACUUUGAGCAGUUUCUCCAGUCACAUCGUCCCUCAGCGCCAUUGGAACCUGGAGCCUGAUGCUCACUUGCUGACCGAGGUUUCCACUGAGCAGCAGGACCGAGGACCAGGUCUGGCUGGGAGUCAUCACAGCCAGGAAUUGAAGACAGGAGACGGGCUGAGGAGAGGCCCGACCACCGAGAGCAUCGUUCAGAGAAAGGGGCGGGCUGAGGUCAGGGGACCCCCACAGCCUCUCCCUGGCAGCUGGGGGCAGAGGCAGAGCUCACGGCUCUACUCCCUGGGUGAGGAAAGCCCGAGGGACCUGGAGUCACCCACCAGCCAGCCUCCAGCCAUCUGUCUCCUGGGGAACAGGAGCCUGCGGCAGCAGCUGCCUUGGCUCGUUGUCCACCAGAUCCAUUCUAGCUCCCUCUCGAGCUGUAGAAUUGAAGGUGGGCGCCUAGCGGCUCAGCCAGACUAUACUUCCCGGCCUUCUUUGCGGUUAAGUCACGUUCUCGCCAGCGGGAUGGCAGCAGAAGUGAAGUGUGGUCCAUCUGACACGGAGCCUUUCAGACCACGCCUCACCUCCUCCUUGACCUCUUUUCCCUCCCCGCUGUCUACACCCAGCACAGGGCUGAAACCCAGCUUCGUCCAGGAAGGUGUUUACAACGCCCCAGGACUGGUGGAGAAACAUGACAGAGGGGAUCGGUCUGAGUCUCCAAGCGACCAAGUGAGGAGAUCCAUGCACCCAAAGCGACUACAAAACAGACACGGAAAUUUCUUUGUCCUUUAUGGUACGGGAUGUUGGGGGGAGAUGGAUGGCAGAGAGUCUCUUUGUUACAGCAGCUUAGCUUCCCCCAGCUACCACAAAGACCCGCCAAUAGAUACGACAGAAGAGAAUAAGAUGCCAGGAGGUCGCUUUUGAAUCCAGGACCACUGGUUUCCCUUCUAGAAACAGUUAACAUCUCCUGUUGUCAGUUCACAUUCAGUACUUUUCACC
rnacentral:lncRNA from 1 species